UCUGUUAUGGAACUUGUUAUCUCAACAAUAGUAUUAACAAUGUCACAUAAAGUAACAUGACUUGCUCACAUAAAAUUUGCAGGGUCGACAAGCCAGAAAGCUGCCGAUGGUCUUCUGGAUCGAGUAAUAGAACUAAUUGGUCAUUCCAGUCAAGUACUUGAUUUUCUGCAUAAACCAUGGCAUAACCUUCUCUGCUUUUCUUCCGUGGGAAGCUCAAAGAAUUGCUUGCUAACUGGACACACAAUCCAUACUGCUUGGAUCAAGGUGUCCCAUCCCUCGCUUGAGUGUAUCCUUGUUCGGGUAAUAUUGAAGGAAAUGGCCAACAUAAUUUCUCACCUUCUUAUAAAGUCUAGGCCUUGUCUCGUUGACCAAUCCAUCUAAAGGCUCGAUCUCAUUAUCAGGAUCUGGAUGAUAAAAUACAGCUAGAGAUAACCUCUCCCUUUCGGGGUUUAUCACCACCCUAUGUACCGGACUCUUGAACAUUCCGUUGCUCAUUAUCUGCGUGUAUCAUCACAAUUUGUUAGUAAAUGAAAAAACAAGUGAAGUUGGAUUUAGGGUAGCUAGAAAGUACCUCUACUUGAUCGCCAAUGUUAAUGAGAAGAGCUUCAGGAAUGAUAGGAACUCUAAACCAUUGAUCAUCUUUCAGAAUUUGAAGGCCUUCAACUUCCGUGUCUUGAAGGACAAAAGUAAUUGCCGAUGAAUCUGAAUGCGGUUUCAGGCCUAGAACUAGAUCAUACCUCGAACAAGGAGGAUAGAAAUUAAAUCUUGAUCCCAUUCUUGCUCCAACUCCGCAUUUUUUCAGAAAACAGUGAUCAUCCAAGUUUAGGGACAUAGCCAUUGCCUUGAGGACAACCGCAGUCAUCUGCUGGUUUUGAGGCCAGAAUCGGAGCUGUCGUUGGUCUUCCGGGAUUAGUGAAAGAACCAAUCGGUCAUUCCAGUCCUGUACUUGAUUUUGUGCAG